GUGAGGAAUAUUGCGCAAUGGAGGCAACUCUGACGCAGCCAUGCCGCGUGCAGGAAGAAGGCGCUACGCGUUGUAAACUGCUUUUAACCGGGAAGAAACCCCAGGACGUGUCCUGGGUUGACGGUACCGGAGGAAUAAGCACCGGCUAACUUCGUGCCAGCAGCCGCGGUAAUACGAAGGGUGCAAGCGUUAUCCGGAUUCAUUGGGUUGAAAGGGUGCGUAGGCGGAGCGUUAAGUCAGUGGUGAAAUCCUGCAGCUUAACUGUAGACUUGCCAUUGAUACUGGCGCUCUUGAGUGCGCUUGAAGUGGGCGGAAUGUGCCGUGUAGCGGUGAAAUGCUUAGAUAUGGCACAGAACACCAAUUGCGAAGGCAGCUCACUAAGGCGAUACUGACGCUGAGGCACGAAAGCGUGGGGAUCGAACAGGAUUAGAAACCCUGGUAGUCC
rnacentral:rRNA from 1 species